UACGUAGGGCGCGAGCGUUAUCCGGAAUUAUUGGGCGUAAAGAGCUCGUAGGCGGUAUGUCACGUCUGCUGUGAAAACUGGAGGCUCAACCUCCAGCCUGCAGUGGGUACGGGCAAACUAGAGUGCGGUAGGGGAGAUUGGAAUUCCUGGUGUAGCGGUGAAAUGCGUAGAUAUCGAGAGGAACACCUGCGGCGAAGGCGGGUUGCUGGGCUGACACUGACGCUGAUGCGCGAAAGCUAGGGGAGCGAACGGG
rnacentral:rRNA from 1 species